rnacentral:lncRNA from 1 species
CUGAGAGCACUUGAGACCUGGGAGGACCAAGAAAAAAAGGGGAUUAUAUUGAAAACCUGGUUGGCAGAAGUGAGAUUUGCUCUGCAAUUAUGUGAGGUUCUCAUUGUUCAUAACUCUCAGCAUAACAUACAACUUUUGGAACUGACAUGCCUUAGAAUAAUUAACCUUGAAGGAAGAACAACAGUUUUUACAACUUCAGGCCUGUAGCUGUGAAUGGUUACAUUUGGGAUGCAAGUUUUUCAGUGAGCUUUCAAUUUGCUGGGGAAGGAGAGAGAUGAAUGCCACUUGUGAGAGAUAACUUUGGGUUUCUCAACUAAGAACCAGGGUUAUCAGGUAGAUAUAAAAUAAAAUCACCUCAUCAGCCACAUCACUAACCUCAGCAAAAUCCAACAAUAACCAUUUUAUACCUGGUCACACUCAACCACAAGACAUCUGGCAACCAAACACUUUUGGCCAACAGUAGUAUAGUGGAAGGUGGAGAAGUGGGAAUUUACCUCCUCAGUCAAGACUCUUCCAAGGCUUUAUCUUGGUGAAGUAAACAACUGCAUUUUACUAGUUGUCAUGUACAUCACAAUGAGGUACACAAUUUAUAAUAAUAAAUUAUAUUUAUGAAGUAGGAUCUUAUUAAAUUAUAUUUAGGAAGCAGGACCUGCUCUGGAUUUGUCUUCAGACUUCCCUGUGUGAAGGAACCUUGAAAUAAAUAAUUUCCACUCUGGCAAGCACCUGGUUUAAAACAAAGGUGAAGCCAAUGAAUUAAAUAGUCAAAACACCUGAUUCCUUUUAGGAGGGAGGGAAGCAGUAAAUAAUGUUGCCUUAGAGAAAUUUCUCCCUUGUCAUGCCUUUCCCCUUGCAGUUUGCUGUCACUAAUCACUGUGAGCCAGACUGUGCAUGUGGAAGAAUCCUUCAGACGGAGUCAGUGGGGCUACUCAUCUGUGAGUCAUUCUAAUGAGCAAUACUGAAAGUGCUGACCUGCCCAUCUCAUGCUUCCUAACUGAGACUCCAAGCUAACCUGCAGCCUUGGUGUGCCUCAGGGCUGCCUUUUGGGCAGAGGAGAACCUGGGACGCUGGUUUUACUGCAGACCUUACCAGUGGAAUAAAUGCUGUUGUGGAUGUGUGUGUGCCCA